GCCCCCACUAAUACAUGACUAAUUGUUAACUUGAAUUACACACAAAAUAGGCUGACAUAUCAGCCAUUACAUCAGACCAAAUCCUACUAACUUUGUUGAACAAAAUACAAGUAAACUAAGCAAAGUUACAUAGGAACAAAAUGAUCAAAGCAGCUGUUGCAUUCGGUUCUGCUUCAAUGCUGCACUUCAAGCUGCUUUGCUGUUGCUGGUCUUCUUGUGAACUUGCUGCUUGUCCCAAGGCCAAAGUCUAACACAAACAGAACUGGCUGCUCGUAUUAGCCAUGGUAAC
rnacentral:lncRNA from 1 species